CCUACGGGAGGCAGCAGUGAGGAAUAUUGGACAAUGGAUGGAAAUCUGAUCCAGCCAUGCCGCGUGCAGGAAGACGGUCCUAUGGAUUGUAAACUGCUUUUAUAUGGGAGCAAUAAGGUCUUUGCGAAGACUGAUGAGAGUACCAUAUGAAUAAGGAUCGGCUAACUCCGUGCCAGCAGCCGCGGUAAU
rnacentral:rRNA from 1 species